rnacentral:lncRNA from 1 species
UCAAAUCUCAAAUAAUUCUCAUGCAACCGUCACCCCACUCCAACAAAGUUUUUUCACUCCUCAAUCAACAAGAACGACAAUUUACAACUCUAGUUAAAAAAUAGAAAAUGUUUUCUAACUUUCAAAAUUCCUCUCAUAAAUCGCACCCUCUAGAUUAUAAAAACAAGGGGGUUUCUUAUGGUCACCGAAGAGGAGCUAAAGUUUGUAGUUAUUGUCAUAAAUUGGUUCAUACAAUUAAAGUGUUUCAAGAGACAUGGGUUGCCUCCCUAUCUCAAAAAACCAAACAUCAAUCAAGUUCACGCUUUCAUUGACAAUGUAGUUGAAGUCCUACAAGAAAACCCACAAAUCAAGAAACCUAUAAAACC